UACGGAGGAGGCUAGCGUUAUUCGGAAUUACUGGGCGUAAAGCGCACGUAGGCGGCUUUGUAAGUAAGAGGUGAAAGCCCGGAGCUCAACUCCGGAACUGCCUUUUAGACUGCAUCGCUUGAAUCCAGGAGAGGUGAGUGGAAUUCCGAGUGUAGAGGUGAAAUUCGUAGAUAUUCGGAAGAACACCAGUGGCGAAGGCGGCUCACUGGACUGGUAUUGACGCUGAGGUGCGAAAGCGUGGGGAGCAAACAGG
rnacentral:rRNA from 1 species